CCAGCAGAUCUCCUUACCAUACACACCGCCAGCGCAACAAUACAUUACAACCCCUCAGAAAGCCCAUACAACAAGUCAGUAUGUGACAAAAGAUGAUAUGCUUGUCGUAAUCAAUCAAUUUCGAAGAUAGACAACCAGACCAUCAGAAUUGGACUUCACUCCACCAUACCUGACACAUAUACGGAGACAGCCUUACCCAACAGGGUAUAUUGAGCACCCGCCAUAAUUCCCGAAGUACAAUGGAGAGAAAGGGAAUGCGAGAG
rnacentral:lncRNA from 1 species